rnacentral:rRNA from 1 species
AUACGGAGGAUCCGAGCGUUAUCCGGAUUUAUUGGGUUUAAAGGGUGCGCAGGCGGCCAUUUAAGUCAGCGGUUAAAUCGUGGGGCUCAACCCCAUUCUGCCGUUGAUACUGGGUGGCUUGAUUGCGGUCGAGGUUGGCGGAAUUCGUUGUGUAGCGGUGAAAUGCAUAGAUAUCACGAAGAACUCCGAUCGCGAAGGCAGCCUUCCGGCCCGUCAACGACGCUCAUGCUCGAAGGUGCGGGUAUCAAACAGGAUUAGAUACCCUGGUAGUCCGCACAGUAAACGAUGGACACCCGCGGUUUGGCCUGUAUGGCUGAGCCGCCAAGCGAAAGCGUUAAGUGUCCCACCUGGGGAGUACGCCGGCAACGGUGAAACUCAAAGGAAUUGACGGGG